rnacentral:rRNA from 1 species
UACAGAGGGUGCGAGCGUUAAUCGGAAUUACUGGGCGUAAAGCGCACGUAGUCGGCUUUGCAAGUCGGGUGUGAAAUCCCCGGGCUCAACCUGGGAAUUGCGAUGGAGACUGCAAGGCUAGAAUCUGGCAGAGGGGGGUAGAAUUCCACGUGUAGCAGUGAAAUGCGUAGAGAUGUGGAGGAACACCGAUGGCGAAGGCAGCCCCCUGGGUCAAGAUUGACGCUCAUGCACGAAAGCGUGGGGAGCAAACAGG